rnacentral:rRNA from 1 species
AAGAGACAGCAGUCGCCGCGGUAAUACGAAGGGGGCUAGCGUUGCUCGGAAUGACUGGGCGUAAAGGGCGCGUAGGCGGAUGGCACAGUCAGAUGUGAAAUUCCCGGGCUUAACCUGGGGGCUGCAUUUGAUACGUGUUGUCUAGAGUGAGGAAGAGGGUUGUGGAAUUCCCAGUGUAGAGGUGAAAUUCGUAGAUAUUGGGAAGAACACCGGUGGCGAAGGCGGCAACCUGGUCCUUGACUGACGCUGAGGCGCGAAAGCGUGGGGAGCAAACAGGAUUAGAUACCCCAGUAGUCCCUGUCUCUUAUAC